rnacentral:tRNA from 1 species
UAUAUUUGUUUAAUAUGGCAGAAGUUAGUGCGAUGAAUUUAAAAUUCAUUUAUAUAGAUUUUAUUUAUUAUUAAAA